rnacentral:rRNA from 1 species
UACGGAGGGUGCAAGCGUUAAUCGGAAUUACUGGGCGUAAAGGGUGCGUAGGCGGUUCGUUAAGUCUGUCGUGAAAUCCCCGGGCUCAACCUGGGAAUGGCGAUGGAUACUGGCGAGCUAGAGUGUGUCAGAGGAUGGUGGAAUUCCCGGUGUAGCGGUGAAAUGCGUAGAGAUCGGGAGGAACAUCAGUGGCGAAGGCGGCCAUCUGGGACAACACUGACGCUGAAGCACGAAAGCGUGGGGAGCAAACAGG